rnacentral:lncRNA from 1 species
CAAAAAUUCUCUUCCUCCCAUCUCAUUGGCUCAAGAAAAUGGCUGCAGUGAGCAAUACAACAUGUAUGCAUUAAACAGAAGGAAGGCUCUUCGAGAGGUACGAAUUGCAAGAGUAUGCUCAUAUUUAUUAUGGAGAACUGGUAACCUGGUAUAUUAGGGUGUAAUAGGAUUUGUUGGUAACCUGGUAUAUUAGGGUGUAAUAGGAUUUGUUGCUGUUAGAUGACAUUAGCAUUCUAAAACAUACUUUUGCC